rnacentral:snoRNA from 1 species
CAAAAUGAUGAAUCUGCACUGGGCACCGAUAUCCUUAUGGAUUAUCAUGAGCCGAAACGCAAUUACAUGGCAGGCCUAGAAAACCUCGCCGACUGAAU